GGGGAUUUAGCUCAGCGGCAUAAGCGCCUGCCUUGCAAGCAGCUAGUCGUGAGUUCAAUCCCUG
rnacentral:tRNA from 1 species